rnacentral:rRNA from 1 species
GACGUAACGCGUGGCGGCGUGCUUAACACAUGCAAGUCGAACGGAGUGGCUCGAUAGGACAGAGGUUUCGGCCAAUGGAUUGAGUUACUUAGUGGCGGACUGGUGAGUAACGCGUGAGGAACCUGCCUUUCAGGGGGGGACAACAGCUGGAAACGGCUGCUAAUACCGCAUGACGCAUGACCGGGGCAUCCCGGACAUGCCAAAGAUUUUAUCGCUGAAAGAUGGCCUCGCGUCUGAUUAGAUAGUUGGUGAGGUAACGGCUCACCAAGUCGACGAUCGGUAGCCGGACUGAGAGGUUGAACGGCCACAUUGGGACUGAGACACGGCCCAG